rnacentral:rRNA from 1 species
GACAGAGGGUGCAAACGUUGUCCGGAAUCACUGGGCGUAAAGGGCGCGUAGGUGGCGGCCCAAGUCCAUGGUGAAAGCUCGAUGCUCAACAUCGAGUCGGCCACGGAUACUGGGUUGCUCGAGCACUGUAGGGGCAGAUGGAAUUCCGGGUGUAGCGGUGGAAUGCGUAGAGAUCCGGAAGAACACCGGUGGCGAAGGCGGUCUGCUGGGCAGUUGCUGACACUGAGGCGCGACAGCGUGGGGAGCAAACAGG